CUUGGCGUCGAGUUUAUGCUGCAGUUGGUAGUUUGCGUUUGAUUCAAACCGAAGAACAUAAAACUUUCAACAGAGGAUCUCUUGGCUCUUGUAUCGAUGAGAAACGCAGCAAAGCGCGAAAUGUAGUGAACAUAGCAGCACAUUUGUGAAUCAUCGUUUCUUUGAACGCCCAUUGGCGCCUCCGGUAGCUCGAAGGCAUGCCUGUCUGAGCGUCAUUUAAAACAUGGGACCCAUUAUUGGGUCCGUAUUGGGCGUCGCCCCCCCUCUCCAGAGUGGCGCGUGGCCUCAAAGACCAUGGUCUCACAUGCGGACGAGCUUCCCUGGAACGAGCCCGCGGUGGAGACCCUAAGCAUCUGACUUUGAUCUCAGAUCAGGUAGGACUACCCCGCCUGAACUUAAGCAUAUCAAUAAGCGGAGGA
rnacentral:rRNA from 1 species